UCGAACGGGGGUAGCAAUACCCUAGUGGCGAACGGGUGAGUAAUGCAUCGGAACGUGUCCCGUAGUGGGGGAUAGCCCGGCGAAAGCCGGAUUAAUACCGCAUAUGCUCUACGGAGGAAAGUGGGGGACCGCAAGGCCUCACGCUAUGGGAGCGGCCGAUGUCGGAUUAGCUAGUUGGUGAGGUAAAGGCUCACCAAGGCGACGAUCCGUAGCUGGUCUGAGAGGAUGAUCAGCCACACUGGGACUGAGACACGGCCCAGACUCCUACGGGAGGCAGCAGUGGGGAAUUUUGGACAAUGGGGGCAACCCUGAUCCAGCCAUGCCGCGUGAGUGAAGAAGGCCUUCGGGUUGUAAAGCUCUUUCGGCCGGAAAGAAAGCCUCGCUCUUAAUACGGGUGGGGGUUGACGGUACCGGCAUAAGAAGCACCGGCUAACUACGUGCCAGCAGCCGCGGUAAUACGUAGGGUGCGAGCGUUAAUCGGAAUUACUGGGCGUAAAGCGUGCGCAGGCGGUUGACUAAGCUUGCUGUGAAAGCCCCGGGCUUAACCUGGGAAUGGCAGUGAGGACUGGUCGACUGGAGUGUGGCAGAGGGGGGUGGAAUUCCACGUGUAGCAGUGAAAUGCGUAGAGAUGUGGAGGAACACCGAUGGCGAAGGCAGCCCCCUGGGCUAACACUGACGCUCAGGCACGAAAGCGUGGGGAGCAAACAGGAUUAAAUACCCUGGUAGUCCACGCCCUAAACGAUGUCAACUAGGUGUUG
rnacentral:rRNA from 1 species